GGAUUGAAGGACAACCUGGCUAAGGUGUCUGUCAUCCCAUUGAAAGCUAGGGCUUAUCCAAACAAUCUGGCUAGCUAGGUGUGUAUACCCAUCCUCCCUCACUCCUCCUAUAUGCCAUUACUGAAAAUAUGUGCUUGGACAGAGUAUGACAUUCCCCUACAGAGGAGGAUAUGGUCUUUAAUCAUGAGUAUACUAGCAGCUGUGCUCCCCACACAAAUUCUACACACACACACACUCAUGGGGGUACAGGGAGAAAGAGAAAGACAGAGAGCCCAAAUUGAUGGUCUAUGAGACCACUACUGAGUUA
rnacentral:snRNA from 1 species